CUGACUACUGAGUUAGUGUUGGUUUUUGUGGGAUUUCUGACUGGGCCUUAGUCAGCCCAGGCCCAAAAAGGUAUAUAUGGAGACUCCCCAGGCAACCAGGGAGUCUGUGACCAGGGACUGCCAACAGGGGAGCAGUUUGCAGGCCAGUUUGUGGAUAGUACACACCGUUUAGGAGUAUACGGGAGCUUCUGACAGAGACUUCAGGUAAGUGAAUGAGAAGGGGGGCUAUUAAGGGGAUGGUGACAUGGAGUGCAGCCAUGGAUCCAGAGCUGCGAGGCCUUCACCCAGACUGGCCCCUUGGAUGGGUUAGUAAUGCCCUGUCCCCUGUCUGUGGGGGUUGCCUGGUGGGACCUCUGAGGCCUGGGGGUAGUGUGAGGGCCAGGGUUCCCAUGCCUACCCCACAUGUGUCCAGACUGAGGCCCUGGAGGGGCAGGUGAGGGAACUCCAGGCAGAGGUGAGCAGGCUGUGGGGGAUCAGGGCUGCAGAAGAUGAGAUUGAUGGAUACUUUCAUUCUCUUCAGGACCAGAUACCUAGCACAGAGACAUCACAGGAGAAUCCCAGGAAAGCUGAAUGGAGGACAGUCACCUCCAAAGCUAGACAGCAUGUGGCUCUGACUGCUUUCCCAGUGCAACUGGGGAACAGAUAUGAAGCCCUGACAGCACUGGAGGAUUAUGCAGCAGAGAAAGCUGCAGGGGAAGACACGUCUACAACAAACACCAGGCAGAUUGAGUGACAAUCGAGCAGACAGAGGAAGAGAUGCCAGGUCAUUGUCAUGGGCAACUCCCUCCUGAGAGGCUCACAGGGGCCUAUCUGUCGACCGGAUCCCAUGGCACAGGAGGUAUGCUGCUUACCUGGAGCCAGGAUCUGGGACAUCACUGCAAGGAUUCCCAACCUCAUCCAGCCCUCCCAUGGGCCUCAUCCAUGUGGGCACGAAUGAUGUGGCCAGGAGAGGAGUAAUUUGGACCAUGCCAUGAGUGACUACAGGGCUCUGGGGGCCAGGGUUAGGAAGUCAGGGGCACAGGUGGUCUUCUUGUCCAUCCUUCCAGUCAGUGGUCACCAUCAGCAUCAGAACGCCUGCAUUAAGAAGUUAACCUGUGGCUCCAGAGUUGGUGUCAUCAUGCGGGUUUUGCCUUCUACAGCCACAAUCCGCACUUCCAAGAGAAAGGCAUCCUGGGACAAGAUGGUCUUCAUCUCUCUUCUAAGGGGCACCCCCUGGAGUAACUAGGAACAAUGGCCACAAAUUGACAGACAGCAGAUUUAGGUUGGACAUUAGAAAGAACUUCUUCACAGUAAGGGUUGCCAGAACUUGAAAUGAGAUGCCAAGGGAGGUGGUGCUCUCCCCUACCUUGGGGGUCUUCAAGAGGAGACUGGACAAGCAUGUAGCUGGGGUCCUCUGACCCCAGCACUCUUUCUUGCCCAGAGCAGGGGGUUGGACUUGAUGACCUACUGAGGUCCCUUCUUACCCUAACAUCUAUGAAGCUAUAACUGAAAGAGACCUGGGUGUUCUAAGAGACCACAGAAUGAACAUGAGCCACCAAUGAGAUGCUGCCGACAGCAGAGAGAAUCCAACACUGGCAUGCAUCUACUGAUGUCAUCCUCCAGCUCAACUCAACCUUGGUGAGACUGCAGCUGGAGUUCUGCAUCCAUUUCUGAGCGCUGCACUUCGGGAAGGAUUUGGAGAAGCUCAAGAGAAUACAAACGAGGGCCAUGCACACGAUUAGAAGUCUGGAGAGCAGGUCGUACAAGGAUAGGAUGAAAGGCUUGGGACUGUUCAGCCUGGAGAAGAGAAGACUCAGAGGGCACUUGGUGGCAGCCUAUAAGUAUAUUAAGAGUGUACAUCAGGGCCUGGGGGAGCUUCUUUUCACCAAGGCACCCCAGGGGAAGACAAGAAACAAUGGGCACAAACUAAUUGAAGAUUGCUUCAGAUUGGACAUAAGGAAUAUCUUCUUUACAAGCCAAGUGCCGAGGGUGUGGAACAAACUCCCCCCAGAGGUGGUACAGUCACCCACCUUGGCAAUCUCCAAAGUGUCUUGACACUCACUUUGCUGGUGUUAUCUGACCCCAGUCUUUCCUGCCCAAGUACAGGGGGGCUGGACCCAAUGAUCUUGUAAGAUCCCAUACAUCUAUGAAUCUAAAAGAAUAAAUAAAUAAAUGAAAUAAAAUAAAAUAAAAUAAAAAAUAGGAAAGAUCAAAUUGAAAGGGGGCACUUUAAAAUUACCUAAAUGAGAAAACAGAAUCAAUCUAAACCAGAGGGAUUUUUUGUGUGUGUUUUGAUUCACAAUACAGUGAAUUCAAGAUUUUGAUUUUCAUCAAGUAGUGGUAGCAGCAGCGGCAGCUGCAAUAGUGCAUAUUAUUAUUAUUUUAUUAUUAUUAAAUGUGGUAGGACUUCAGGUCAGGCAGCAAUUCACAACCUCUGAUCUUGUUUUAAAAAGUGAUAUGCCAAUUCUCUAACUUCUAUUCUCUCACUCUAUUUUUGUACCAGUCUGGAUAAAUAGAUAUUAAAGGCAGAUGGUGUUCCCAGUAUUCUAAAUCAGGUAGAAGUACUUUAGAUUUGGAAAGGGUGACUGACUGUAUUGUGUGAGGCAGGUACAUUUCUGGAAAACAAUUUGGCACAUCUCUAUCUCAAAUGCCCAGUUAAUCAUGUUAUAUGGGGAUAGUUGGCAAUUGAUUUGCUUGGAAUGCUUCUCAGGUUUUAUUGUCUUCUACUAAACUGUUUUGCUUUUUUUUUUUUUUAAUUUUGUGCUGUUCCAGCAGUCAGCAUGUUUUACUGAUUCCUGCCACAUUAGGGAUGUAGGCUGAAGUUGUUUGUUGAUUUUCUAUUAGCUGUUAUUUGAGACUAAAAGCAUUUCUCAUUGUUUUCUUUACCAUCCAAUUGAGAUAGUUAUUUAGCUUCAUUGAACUUGUGAUGGCCUUAAGUGUUCCUUUGGCAGUGCUUGCACUAAGCAGACUUGGUCACAAAGCUCCUUACAAUUGCUGUUUUGACUCUUGAACAUAUAUAUAUCUCAAAAUUCAGGGACUGGUCAAUUUCUUUUCUGUAUGUUCCAGUUAAUAUCAAAUACUAAAGUGCAUGUUUGUUGUGCAUUUUACAGAUAUAUUAAGUCCUGACACUGAUGAUGUUUUACAGUUCCUACUUAUAAAAGAAAGAAAAGAAAAAAAAAAAAGGAAAAAACCAAAGCAAAGCAAAACAAAAUAAAACAAACAAAAAAACCUACCAAAAGCCCAAUUAUUAGGUUGCACUCCAGUAACAUUGUUUCCAUUCUUAUGUGAAACUCAUUUUAUUCCUUUUCUAUAGGUUUCAUCAAGACAAUUAUUUAGUGGGCCAAGGAAGUCAAGCAACGUGAUUGGCUAAUGAAUAUUUUAACUUGUGCCGUUUUCUUCCUACUCUAUAGAUUGGAAAACAUUAAAGGUAAACUGCUAAAGAAGAAACUUCAUUUACUUUUCCAAUAAUCUGUCCCAUUAACCAUCCACAUAAGGUUAUUCAGCAGCACACAGACAAACAGAACCACCCUUUGCAAAAAUCCUCUUUAGAAUUCACUCAAUUUCUGCUAGCAGAACCCAACUUACUAAACCCAGAAUAACAGGAAACAUUUUGGAGGGAGCUGGCCAAUUCCUUACCAGUAACUGUAUGCUGGGAUGAAAUUCUCACCUUUCUAUGAUUAUUGAGUCCAUCUCAUUUCUUUCUGGAUGGUGCCAUUUUCAACAUCUUAUUUUUUUUUAUUAUAUGCCUUCAGGCUACAGAACUGGAAGUCUACAUUUCAGGAAGGCUAAUAAAGCACAUAAUAAUUUGAAUACAAUUUCCAAAAAUAAAAUCAUGUCAAAUCUUCA